CCUACGGGUGGCAGCAGUGGGGAAUAUUGCACAAUGGGGGAAACCCUGAUCCAGCGACGCCGCGUGAGUGAAGAAGUAAUUCGUUCUGUAAAGCUCUAUCAGCAGGGAAGAAAAUUACGGUACCUGAGUAAGAAGCCCCGGCUAACUACGUUACAGCAGCCUCGGUAAUACGCCGGUGGCAAGCGUUAGCCGGAUUUACUGGGUGUAAAGGGAGCGUAGACGGUUGUGCAAGUCUGGAGUGAAAGGCGGGGGCUCAACCCCCGGACUGCUCUGGAAACUGUACGGCUGGAGUGCAGAAGAGGUAAGUGGAAUUCCUAGUGUAGCGGUGAAAUGCGUAGAUAUUAGGAAGAACACCAGUGGCGAAGGCGGCUUACUAGACUGUAACUGACGUUGAGGCUCGAAAGCGUGGGGAGCAAACAGGAUUAGAUACCCGGGUAGUC
rnacentral:rRNA from 1 species